rnacentral:lncRNA from 1 species
CGACAUUUGUCAGCUCCCCCACGGGGAACCUCUUCCACAUUCGGUCCCCAUGCACUCCCCUCAACAUUCCUCAUGGGCCUUGUCAUCCUCCUUUUAGUAAAAAGUGAAGGAACUCAGGCCCAGAGAGGUUACCCUGCUGAAGCUCCUUCGGCCGUUUGUGGCUGAGCCAGGGCGAGCAUCCAGCCCAGGUCUACAGCUCACCAUCCGUCCGUCCAUCCUUCCUUCCCCAGCCAGGCCAGGAGGCCCAACUCACUCUUCUCUGACCCAAGAGGCUGGAGCAAACCAGGCUUCCUGUGGUUUUGUUUUAGUUUUUCUACACUUCUCAUUAAGGGAAUUUUCAUGCAUAUCCAAAAAUAGACAGGAUGACAUAAUUAGCUCCACGUGCCCGCCGUCACCCAGCCUCAAGGCUUAGCGUUUCCUGUUUCAUCUCCGCCCUGCCACUUCAUCUUCAUUUUCCUCUUAUAAUGCUAUGCAUCUUAAGCAAACUCUAGAGUCCUCUCACCACGCCCCAAAUGACCUCACUGUCUUCACCAGGCAUUCUCUCAGGCUCUCGUUCUGUAGGAGCAAACUCAGACCCUGCUCUCCGCCAUUCUGAUGAAGUCAUGGAAGCCCAGAGAGGCGAGGGACAUCACACAGCACGUCCCUCGUGGGUGGGAAGGAGCGAACCGCACUCAGCAGGUCAUCGCCCCUGUGCCACCUGGACCAAACCAGGAGGUGGGCAUGGGUGACAAGACCAGCCCAGGGUACUGUCCUCCACUCGUCUCCUCAGCCGCAGUAUUUUGUGAAUCCAACCACCUGGUGUGGAAAGGGAAGAGAAAUGAAUAAGAAACUCAAGCUACCAGUUACCACCAACUUUAUUUUUAGAAACUGCAGUAUGAGAUGCAAUAUGAAUGUCUCUAGAAUACCAAGUAGGGGAAAUGAUAAAUCGAUGCCUCCGAAUUGUAUGAAAUGCAAGAAAACCAUCCAAGUGACUCAGAGGAGCCCGGGGGAGGGACUUGAUCAGGACUCGGAACAGCCGCAGGGCUUUCAAUUCAGCCACAAAUGGGUCGUGUAAUGACAGCCUCCGGGACGGGUCCAGCUCUCCUCCACAGCCUCCAGAAUCGUUUGAAAGGCAGCAGGGGGAGCAGCGAGGGGUCAGCGCUUCAAGGGCCCCCAAACUCAGCUAGAACAGGGCUCCAGCUCCUGCUCCCGGAAUGAGGACCCUCAGGGGCAGCAGAGGGACCAUGGAGGGCCUUCGGGGGUGCGACCAGGUGUGUUACUCGAGCCGGGAGAGCUGAGCGUCAGCCCUCUCACAGACACCAUCCUGGGGCAGCCGGCGCGAGCCCCAGCAGGGGACGGACUGUGAACCAAGCGUGCGCUCUCUCCUGACCUCCUUGGCAAGCCCCCUCUGCAGAGGGCCGUUCCGCCAGCCCCAGCUGUAUGUCACUUAGGCUUAUAACGUGUCUGCUCCUCGUGAGUCCCUGAAAAGUCCUCCCAUCUCUCUGGUCCUCUGUAGCGGUCAUAGCGUAUUCUGCCAAAUAUUUCCAGUUCUCACCUCUUCUAAGCACACACAGCGAUGGCACUGCCAGCCCUCUGCCUUCCUCGGCCAACAUAUUGUGAGUGGGGGUGACGCGUGUCACUUCUGGCUGCUCGAUAAGCCUACCUGAGCUGUGAGGCAGAGCCCCCCGACGGUCCCUGACGGUCCCCAACGGUCCCAGCCACGUGACCUAGAGGACGGAAGGGCUGGUGGGCGGCAGUGAGGGAACUACUACCAGAGGCAGGAAGACGGUAAUUCUCAGGCAGUGGCGACUCGCCCGGCGAACCUGUCACCUGCGUAUCCGUGGGCGGCAGACCUUCCACGUAAGGAAAUCGCAGCUCGGGGUGGUGAGUGGGGAUGCGGUUGGGAGCUGGAUUUUAGUAGCGAGUGUUGGUUGCUGUGGGAUUCUGUUGGAAAGAUAUUAUGGGAAAAAGAUGAGCUCAGAAAGUUAUUCUCUGGUUGGCGAGCAGGGAUGAAAGAGGAGAGAGAGAGAACAAAUCCAGGAACUUGCAAGGUUCGAAAGAAGCAGCAGCUUCUCCAACACCAACAGCAAAGCGAGAAGACUGAGAAACACCCGGAGGAAGGAACGCUGAGUAAACGCAGCCAUUUUCAAGAACGACAUCAAGGCGUGGGCUUGCAUCCAUUUCUAAAACCUCUGAGUGGAUCAAGGUGAUGCCCAGUGAAUCAUUCCAGGUGGGCACAAGCAAAGAGAAGAAGGCGGUGGCUCUCCCAUCUAAGCUUCAUGGCUUCGAGAGACUAGCCAUUCUCUCUCCAUAAUUGCAGGAAAGAAGCCGACUGCAUUCUUAAGAGGGUGGUCCCACCAAAGAAACUGCAAACCUGGAAGGAAAUAGUCAAUUCUCAUUAUUUGCAGUAGUUAUAUUCUAUAGACUCUGCAUGGACACGGAAUUAGCGAUAUUGAGCCGUCACUCCCGAGGGAAAUACAGCCUUUUGUUUUUGCAAGCCUCUGGUCACACCAUUUUCGUCAAUCAAUCCUCACCCUUGUUUGGUGUGUGCUGUUCUGCCUUUCCCCACAUAAGGCACUGAAGGCUGUCAUCCCAUGCCUGUCCUUCCAUUUUAUAUUGAAAGGGGGAGGACAACUUGUCUUUUCAUUUCACAAUCAAGAAGCGGCCCAUCUGGACCCAAUGGGGACCCUGGGCAUCACCCCCAGUCAAUGCAGACUCCCCCAUACCACCCAGAGAGCCUUAGAGCUUGGUGCAGGGCUGAGGGGGAGCUCUGGGGUGGCGAGGGAGGGCGUAUCCUUCCUCUGGAGGCGAGUGAACCCUGCCCCAUGGCUGGACGCAUGGGCACUGGUGCCGCUCAGCUCCUUCAGCUUCUCUCCACUCUGGGGGUGUGGUAGGUGACUCAGAUGGGUUCCCGGGGUGCAGGCUGUGAGACAGAACUUAGCGUGCAGGGCGUUUAUUAGAAAGUGCCCUUGGGACCAGCAGCUGUGAGAAGGAGGGGACAGAGAAGGACACGGCAAAGGAGAAGUGGAACUGCAGUGCAGACCAGACACCCCUGGUUCCCCCAUGCAGAAAUCUGAAACAAAAGUGGCCCCUGGGGUUGGCCGACGUUGGCCGAAACAGCAAAGCCUCAUCCUCCCUACUGGGUUGCUGAGCGCCUCGUCCGUGGUGGAUGCUCUCUGGGAGUGUUAACCCACUACAGAAGGAUCUCCACACCUCCUGUCCACUCCCAUAUUGCCCACCCCAUGCCUCAGCCCCAGACCCCCUUGUCCCUGCUCUUCACAUCUCUCCACGUCCCCACCUCUGUUCAGCAGGCCAAGUCACUUGCCAUUGCUUAUGAGUUCAAAUAUCUCCUAACCUUGGGGCUACUUCUUUUUCCACGCAGAGUGGAGGACCAGAUGGACCCAAAGCUCUGCCCAUUGGGAGAAUUUUCCCUCCUCGCUCUAUUUAAAGGACGACCUGAGUGAGGCUGUUCUGUGGCAGCCGUGCAGCUUCGGCUGGCCCCACAGAUUGGACGGACCCAUCCAUAAACCAAGCCCUGCAGGUCAGGCCCCUUGGCUGCCACACCGACCAGUCUGUUCUCUGACGGCAGUGAUUACAUCCACCCGUCUUCUGACAGUUGCACACUGACACCUGCUCCUGCAGUUCUGUUUUUAUCUCCGUUGCUCUCAGAGUUCCCACGGCACCUCCUACCGUGAGCCUGGUUCCCUGGGUCCCUCCGGUGAGCCAGGUUCUGACGGCCUGUCCUACAGGGAGCCUGGUCUACAGAGGAGGCCACCACUGACUUCUUAGUGAGGUUGGUGCAAUGUUCCAGGCGAGCUCGGUUCAGAGCGGACGGAGGGAGGAAGCUGCUGUGACUGAUUCACACCGAUAUUCUG